rnacentral:rRNA from 1 species
CGAAUCAUUCACAAUGGGGGAAACCCUGAUGGUGCAACGCCGCGUGGAGGAUGACGGCCUUCGGGUUGUAAACUCCUGUCACCAAGGAACAAACGGUAGGUUCAUAGCCUGCCCUGAGUUAACUUGGAGAGGAAGAGGUGGCUAACUCCGUGCCAGCAGCCGCGGUAAUACGGAGACCUCAAGCGUUACUCGGAUUCACUGGGCGUAAAGAGUAUGUAGGCUGUUCGGUAUGUCAGGUGUGAAAUCCUAGGGCUCAACCCUAGAACUGCGCCUGAAACUACCGGACUUGAGGCCUGGAGAGGAGAGUGGAAUUCCUGGUGUAGCGGUGAAAUGCGUAGAUAUCAGGAGGAACACCAAUGGCGAAGGCAGCUCUCUGGACAGGUUCUGACGCUGAGAUACGAAGCGUGGGUAGCGAAAGGGAUUAGAAACCCCUGUAUUCC